AUUUCUGUUAAUAAUUUAUAUAAAAUAUUUUGAAUAUUUAUAUAACAUUAACAUAAUUCAUAUUACUAUAUUUUUUAGUAUAUGAAAUUUUACUUUGAGAAAAUUAGAGUGCUUAAAGCAGGCAUAUGCCUUGAAUACUCCAGCAUGGAAUAAUAUUAAAGAUUUUUAUCUUUCUUAUUGGUUCUAAGAUAAGAAUAAUGAUUAAUAGGGACAGUUGGGGGCAUUUGUAUUUAACAGUCAGAGGUGAAAUUCUUAGAUUUGCUAAAGACAAACUAAUGCGAAAGCAUUUGCCAAGGAUGUUUUCAUUAAUCAAGAACGAAAGUUAGGGGAUCGAAGACGAUCAGAUACCGUCGUAGUCUUAACCAUAAACUAUGCCAACUAGAGAUUGGAGGUUGUUCCUUACUCCUUCAGCACCUUAG
rnacentral:rRNA from 1 species